rnacentral:rRNA from 1 species
UACGGAGGGUGCAAGCGUUAUCCGGAUUCACUGGGUUUAAAGGGUGCGUAGGUGGAUUGGUAAGUCAGUGGUGAAAUCUCCGGGCUUAACUCGGAAACUGCCAUUGAUACUAUCAGUCUUGAAUACCGUGGAGGCCAGUAGAAUAUGUCAUGUAGCGGUGAAAUGCUUAGAUAUGACAUAGAAUACCAAUUGCGAAAGGCAGCUGGCUACGCGAAUAUUGACACUCAGGCACGAAAGCGUGGGGGAUCAAACAGG